rnacentral:misc_RNA from 1 species
UUGUCUUGGUGUCGCACACGGCCGUGCGUGUCUUCCAGCGCUGGUUCCCCGUUUGUUCGUGGUGCUCCCUGGUGACGACGCGGGGGGGGGCACAUGCCUCUGUGCGUUGUGUCUCUGGGCCCAGUGCCCACUCUCUCUGUGGGGAAGCCAAGCAGCCCCUAUUCCUGCCACUGCACAACCACCUUUGGUGGUGACAGGGUCAGGCGCGCGUGACGUAGGGACGUCAGAGCGAUGUAUCACUGCCGAUGCCCGCAGUGUCCGGUGCUGGACGGCGUGGCGCCGGAGCGACCCGCGGCCGCGCACACGUUUUCGCCAUCCACAGGAUGGGCGGAGUGUCGGCGUGACUCGAACGCGUCCCACCCCCGGCCCUCACUGCCCACUGGGGGCGGGGUGAGUCUGGGCCCCCCGAGAGGGAUGCCCCGGGUGAUGGCCAGCAUAAUGUGCGUGGCUGUGGGGCGACCUGUGGGGCGGGGUUGGGUAAGGUUCGAGGCAGAAGCCAUGCACCGAUGACCGGGUCUGGGCAUUGCUGCACCUCGUGUGCCUACGGCUGCCUCGCGCCGCGCGACGGGGCCUGUGACCGGCCGGGCAGAGAUGAGCCUAAGCUAUUGUUGUGUGGUGGCAUGGGCGUGGAAGGAAGAAAAUCGAUGGGGGUGCCCUCCUCCCCUUUCUCGCGGCUCGGCAACGCAGCGACUAGGUAGGAGUUUUGCUUUUUCUGUGUGGUGGUGUGCCUCUCACCCGUGCAGAGGUGCAUAAGCACACACCCGUGAAGUGACGGGUGGCAAGGAACCAUUAACCGAGCGCUCUUGCUUUCGUUUUCCUCCCUUCCACGUGCUUUUUGCAUCUUGCUGAUGAUGUUGGGACCUCGUCACCGCAUCUUCUUUAUCCUUCUUCCAUCAUGAGCUGGCAUUCCCUUCCCUCCCUGCCCCACUCUCUCCCGCCCAAAG